rnacentral:rRNA from 1 species
UGCGUAGGCGGACUAAUAAGUCAGUGGUGAAAUCUUUCGGCUCAACCGGGAAACUGCCAUUGAUACUGUUAGUCUUGAGUUCGGUUGAGGUAGGCGGAAUGUGUAAUGUAGCGGUGAAAUGCUUAGAUAUUACACAGAACACCAAUUGCGUAGGCAGCUUACUAGACCGACACUGAUGCUGAGGCACGAAAGCGUGGGGAGCGAACAGGAUUAGAUACCCUGGUAGUCC